rnacentral:tRNA from 1 species
GAACCGGUAUGCAAAUGGUUAAGCGACCAGGCCUUCAACCUGGAUGGUGCGGGUUCGAAUCCCGUCCGGUUCUCCA